AUACCUUUCUCGGCCUUUUGGCUAAGAUCAAGUGUAGUAUCUGUUCUUAUCAGUUUAAUAUCUGAUAUGUGGGCUAUUGGCCCAUACGAUAUUAAAUUUAUUAAAUUUAUUUUUUAAGGGGGAAAGUUCAUUAAGGUAGCUUGCUGCCUUGGCUUUCAAGCGUUGUCCAUGUGUUGCACUACUGCAUGGGCCUGGCGCACCCCAA